AGUUUUUUGAUUUUUUAUAAAAAAUAUUUUCUGCUCGGUGCUUUUAAACAGCCGCGGUAUUUUGACCGUGCAAAGGUAGCAUAAUCAUUUGCUUCGUAAUUGGGGGCUAGUAUGAAUGGACGUACAAGAUAGUUGCUUUAUUUUUAGAAUACAAAUAAUUUGCUUUUUUAGUGAAGAAGCUAGAAUUUAACUGAAAGACAAGAAGACCCUUUUGAGUUUUAUUAUUAUAAUUUUUUUUAAAUUUUAAUAAUUUGGUUGGGGCAACCAAGGAAGAAAGUUAUUUUCCUUAUAAUAUAAAGAUCCGCAGUUUGUGAGUAAUAGAUUAAAUUACCAAAGGGAUAACAGCGUUAUUUUUUUUAAGAGUUCUUAUCGAAAAUGAAGAUUGCGACCUCGAUGUUGACUUAUAGUUUCCCUUAGAUGUAGGCGUUUUUAGGGUAGGUCUGUUCGACCUUUAAAACUUU
rnacentral:rRNA from 1 species